CCUACGGGAGGCAGCAGUGGGGAAUAUUGGACAAUGGGGGCAACCCUGAUCCAGCCAUGCCGCGUGAGUGAUGAAGGCCUUCGGGUUGUAAAGCUCUUUUGGCGGGGACGAUGAUGACGGUACCCGCAGAAUAAGCCCCGGCUAACUUCGUGCCAGCAGCCGCGGUAAGACGAAGGGGGCAAGCGUUGUUCGGAAUUACUGGGCGUAAAGCGAGUGUGGGUGGUUGUCAUAGUCAGGUGUGAAAGCCUUGAGCUCAACUCAAGAAAUGCACUUGAUACUGGGCAGCUAGAGGACCGGAGAGGAUAGUGGAAUUCCCAGUGUAGUGGUGAAAUACGUAGAGAUUGGGAAGAACACCAGUGGCGAAGGCGGCUAUCUGGACGGUUUCUGACACUAAGACUCGAAAGCGUGGGGAACAAACAGGAUUAGAUACCCUGGUAGUCCACGCCGUAAACGAUGGGUGCUAGACGUUGGCGAGCUUGCUCGUCAGUGUCGCAGCUAACGCGUUAAGCACCCCGCCUGGGGAGUACGGCCGCANGGUNGAAACUCAAAGGAAUUGACGG
rnacentral:rRNA from 1 species